UGUGCAGCCGACGCUCUUGAAACGAACGCACCAUGAUUGAGCGAGCUGCGAGCUGUCAAACUUUUUCUCUCGCGCGUGUUCAUUCAUGUUUCGUGUUGGCCGUGUUGGCUGCAGUUUCGAAUCGAAAUCAAGUUUUACUCGCGUGUGCUUAUGAAAAAUAACUUCCGUCAUCAAAUCCGCCGGGUGAACGAACCGGAACAUCUCCGGGAUGGCGGAUUUUUCUCACAUUUGGUGGGCGUGUGGAGCUGUUCGGUUACGGGACAAAACCCGCAGUGGAAACGCAGACCCGGCGCAUAUUGCGGACAUUUCCGGCCACCGUCAAUAAUCCAUUCCGAAUGGAGGCCUCCAAGAUGCCAAGUGCUCGAUCUGGAAAAGCUACGAGGAGUUCGAACAUCUUCGUAGUCUACUAGUUCCAACGCGGAUGCACGUAGACGUGAAAUGCGGACAUUCCAGUUUGCCAUCAUAUUUCCUUUCUUGGUGGCAACGUUAACUCCUGAAGCAGCAGGACAUUUGAAGAUGAAGAAGUGGGCUCUCGACAAAACGGAGCUUUUGGCCGACAGCUUGAAGCGGAAUUACGAAAGAAAACGUCGGAAGGAGCCCAACGACAGUUUCAACUCGACCGCGACCGUGAAGGAAACCCUUCCUGAAUGGCGAGAUGCUGGACGGACUUCUCGUGACGAAAAUCCUGACGGGAGUUGUGAGUGAUGAGUAAUAAGAAAAGCUUGCUUUGUUUCUAAUAAAUUGUUUCAUUUCUGAAGUUCAAUUAAAAAAAAACAGUGUAAAUGAAACUAAAAUAAAAUAAAACAUACUUUUAAUUUAAGGAAAAUACCGUAAAACAUACCAUAAAUAAAAUUAAAGUACAAUAAAACUUGC